UACAGAGGUCUCAAGCGUUGUUCGGAUUCAUUGGGCGUAAAGGGUGCGUAGGCGGCGCGGUAAGUCGGGUGUGAAAUCUCGGAGCUUAACUCCGAAACUGCAUUCGAUACUGCCGUGCUUGAGGACUGGAGAGGAGACUGGAAUUUACGGUGUAGCGGUGAAAUGCGUAGAUAUCGUAAGGAAGACCAGUGGCGAAGGCGGGUCUCUGGACAGUUCCUGACGUGAGGCACGACAGCGUGGGGAGCAAACAGG
rnacentral:rRNA from 1 species